GGGGAGCAUGCUCGAUUGUUUAAGGAUCUAGUGGAGGUCUCUCUGAGGAAAGAAAAUCUCCAUCAAACUAUGAAAAUCAGAUCAUCCAUAGAUCAGGUAACCAAAACUCAGCUAACUAGUCUUUUACAGAAAAAUGUGGAUCUGUUUGCUUGGACAAUAGUGGAUAUGCAUGGCAUAGAUCCGAAGGUGAUGAUUCAUCACUUGAGAGUGG
rnacentral:lncRNA from 1 species